AUUGAACGCUGGCGGCAGGUCUAACACAUGCAAGUCGAACGAGUGGCGGACGGGUGAGUAAUGUCUGGGAACCUGCCUGAUGGAGGGGGCUAACUACUGGAAAAGGUGGCUAAUACCGCAUACCAUCAGAUGUGCCCAGAUGGGUUUAGCUAGUGGGGGGGGAAACGGCUCACCAAGGCGACGAUCCCUAGCUGGUCCGAGAGGAUGACCAGCCACACUGGAACUGAGACACGGUCCAGACUCCUACGGGAGGCAGCAGUGGGGAAUAUUGCACAAGGGGCGCAAGCCUGAUGGAGCAAUGCCGCGUGAAUGAAGAAGGCUUUCGGGUUGUAAAGUACUUUCAGCGGGGAAGCGGUACCCGCAGAAGAAGCAACGGCUAACUCCGUGCCAGCAGCCGCGGUAAUUC
rnacentral:rRNA from 1 species